rnacentral:rRNA from 1 species
AACGAACGCUGGCGGCAGGCUUAACACAUGCAAGUCGAGCGAAGACUUCGGUCUUAGCGGCGGACGGGUGAGUAACGCGUGGGAACGUGCCUUUCACUACGGAAUAGUCCCGGGAAACUGGGUUUAAUACCGUAUACGCCCUUCGGGGGAAAGAAUUUCGGUGAGAGAUCGGCCCGCGUCUGAUUAGGUAGUUGGUGGGGUAAUGGCCUACCAAGCCGACGAUCAGUAGCUGGUUUGAGAGGAUGAUCAGCCACACUGGGACUGAGACACGGCCCAGACUCCUACGGGAGGCAGCAGUGGGGAAUCUUAGACAAUGGGGGCAACCCUGAUCUAGCCAUGCCGCGUGAGUGACGAAGGCCCUAGGGUCGUAAAGCUCUUUCGCCAGGGAUGAUAAUGACAGUACCUGGUAAAGAACCCCGGCUAACUCCGUG